UACGUAGGGGGCAAGCGUUGUCCGGAAUCAUUGGGCGUAAAGCGCGCGUAGGCGGCCCGGUAAGUCCGCUGUAAAAGUCCAGGGCUCAACCCUGGAAAGCCGGUGGAUACUGUCGGGCUAGAGUCCGGAAGAGGCGAGUGGAAUUCCUGGUGUAGCGGUGGAAUGCGCAGAUAUCGAGAGGAACACCUGCGGCGAAGGCGGGUUGCUGGGCUGACACUGACGCUGAGGCGCGAAAGCUAGGGGAGCGAACGGG
rnacentral:rRNA from 1 species